rnacentral:rRNA from 1 species
GACGAACGCUGGCGGCGUGCUUAACACAUGCAAGUCGAGCGGAAAGGCCACUUCGGUGGUACUCGAGCGGCGAACGGGUGAGUAACACGUGAGUAAUCUGCCCCUGGCUUUGGGAUAGCCACCGGAAACGGUGAUUAAUACCGGAUAUGACCACGUCUCGCAUGGGGUGUGGUGGAAAGUUUUUCGGCCAGGGAUGUGCUCGCGGCCUAUCAGCUUGAUGGUGAGGUAAUGGCUCACCAUGGCUUCGACGGGUAGCCGGCCUGAGAGGGUGGCCGGUCAGACUGGGACUGAGACACUGCCCAGACUCCUACGUGAGGCAGCAGUGGGGAAUAAUGGACAAUGGGCGGAAGCCUGAUCCAGCAACGCCGCGUGAGGGACGACGGCCUUCGGGUUGUAAACCUCUUUCAGUACCGACGAAGCGCAAGUGACGGUAGGUACAGAAGAAGCACCGGCCAACUACGUGCCAGCCGCCGCGGUAAAAC